UCCGAUAUGGUCUAGUGGCUAGGAUUUGCCGCUCUCAUCAUGAGAGUUAGUUACACUUUCAAGUGCCGGCAAGGCCCGGGUUCGAUUCCCGGUGUCGGAA
rnacentral:tRNA from 1 species